UCCAUUGCCUCCUCCAAUCUCUUCUUCUCCGUAUCAAGAUCCCAAUUAUUGAGGAGCAGGAUCCUUCCGGAAGUGGUCUUGAGCCCCCAUCGUGGCUAAUGGAACAGGACCAAGGCGAGACGGUAUGGUCCGACGGAAGACCUGCGAGUCCAUCUCAUCCCCGCCUCCUCUCAGAUGGUAGCGCACCGCGAUCGAGGCUGCUGGAGCACGACGACGAUGGGCCGGUGAUGGACGGCUGGGAAACCGGCGACUCCUCGUUAUCUCCACCUCAUCUCAGGUCGGUCACUGCCAGUAAACUUAGGAACCCUUCUCCUCUACUGAUCGGGAACAUCGUUCUUGUCUUUCAAGAUUCUUUCAGUGGCGGUAGCGCACCCCGAUGACGAACGUUGGAACUCGAGGACGACGACCAGCUUGGACGACGGCCCAGAAGAAAAGUGGGUGAUCAUCUUCUCCUCGAUCUCUUUCCAGGUCUGUCACAAUCCCCUUGACCGAUUUGUUCUUUUCCUCCAUUCUUCUCGUUGUUCCAAGUAAUCAUUAGAUCUUAAAGAACAUAAUAAUUUCUCCCUUAGUUUUGGGGCUGAUCUCUUGUAGAAUGUUUACUUUUACGUGAUAUUGUGAAAUUAUGGGAACGACGGUUCGUUGUGUAUGAAUGGGAAGUCUGGGAGUGGUCAUCGCCUCUGGUUGUUCAUCAACUAACAACGAUGAAUCUUUGACUUGGGGAUUUUAUGAGAUUACGUAUAUGGGUCAUCUUUAGUCUUUGAUAACCCUUGAGGUGCUCUAGGUUGUUGGGUAGUGGAAAAGUGGUAGGACUUGCAAGAAUAAAGAAAGAUCUAGUGGUGCAUUAUUCGAUUUA